rnacentral:rRNA from 1 species
AUUGAACGCUGGCGGCAUGCCUUACACAUGCAAGUCGAACGGUAACAGGUCUUCUGCUGCUGACGCGUGCCGCACGGGUGUGUAAUACAUCGGAACGUGCCCGAUCGUGGGGGAUAACGGAGCGACAGCUUUGCUACUAUCGCAUACGCUCUACGGAUGAAAGCCGGGGACCGCAUGGCCCUGCUCGGUCGCAGCGGCCGAGGGCAGAUUAGGUAGUUGGUGGGAUAAAGGCUUACCAAGGCGACGACCUGUAGCUGGUCUGAGAGGACGACCAGCCACACUGGGACUGAGACACGGCCCAGACUCCUACGGGAGGCAGCAGUGGGGAAUGUUGGACAAUGGGCGAAAGCCUGAUCCAGCCAUGCCGAGUGCAGGAUGAAGGCCUUCGGGUUGUAAACUGCUUUUGUACGGAACGAAAAGACUCUUGCUAAUAAAGAGGGUCCAUGACGGUACCGUAAGAAUAAGCACCGGCUAACUACGUG